AUACGAAAGGUGCAAGCGUUGUUCGGAUUUACUGGGCGUAAAGAGAGUGUAGGUUGUUUAUUAAGUCGGAUGUGAAAUCCCGGGGCUCAACCUCGGAACUGCAUUCGAUACUGAUAGGCUAGAGUUUGGGAGGGGUAAGCGGAAUUCCGUGUGUAGCAGUGAAAUGCGUAGAUAUACGGAGGAACACCUGAGGCGAAGGCGGCUUACUGGACCAAUACUGACACUGAGACUCGAAAGCGUGGGUAGUAAACAGGAUUAGAAACCCCAGUAGUCC
rnacentral:rRNA from 1 species